rnacentral:lncRNA from 1 species
GCAAGCAGAGGUUCAGAGUGUCUUCCCCAGAGCCCAUGUUAAGAAGACAAGAGGCGUGUGUGAUGUUGUGUGUUGUGAAGCCAGCACAGGGAUGGCAGACAGUUGGCUGGUCAGGGGCUUCUGCAGGGAGAGGCGAUUGUUGCCAAACUGGACAACACAAAUUCACUUCUAUGUGAUAGAGGGAGGUGACUGACAUGUGCAAACUUCCUCUAACUCUUUCUGUCUCUAAGUACAGUGUGCAGUUUGCAUGUGCUUCUCUUGAAUUCUCUUCAAGCAAGGAACUGUGGCACCACAGCCUACUGAGUGAGAUCACAAAGGCAGAGAGAGAGACUUUCUGUUGAUCUUAACAGCAGUAGCCUGUCAAGCCAUCCCAAUGAGAUGAAUUUGAACUCUGAUGCUGUCAGUCACUCAUUGCUAACUCACUCCAACCUGGCAAGCUCUUCAAAUGUAACCGUCAUCUUUCAGCAAGGGGCUCACCCAGUAAGUGGGGAUGUAUCACAGCCAAAGGCACAGUGCCCUGGCAAGAUCCUCGAAGUUUCCAUUUCUACUGUCAAUCUAAUCCUUGUCACCAGAUUUCUUUGGCUUUAAUGUCAUGGCUUUCAGUAUCAUUGACCCAAAAGCUUGCUAAUAUCUAAAAUCAGCGUAUCGAAUGUAUCCAUCUCAUCAUCCAGAAAUGUUUAAACAAAUGAGAGGGGUGUGUGACUUGAAGAUAGCUGGUACGAAAGCAGAAGUGGGGACGAUCUGAGGGAUGAGAGGAAGUGGGCAGAGGAGACAUGGGAGGGCUGUGACUCAUGUAUAUGCAAAUGCCAUCAUGAAACCCAUUGUGUGUAUGCUGACUAAAAGACCAACUUACAGCAUGUUUUAAUAUGAAAAAUAAAGGGAAUGGGGGUUGAAAGAC